UACGAAGGGGGCUAGCGUUGUUCGGAAUUACUGGGCGUAAAGCGCACGUAGGCGGAUACUUAAGUCAGGGGUGAAAUCCCGGGGCUCAACCCCGGAACUGCCUUUGAUACUGGGUAUCUCGAGUCCGGAAGAGGUGAGUGGAAUUCCGAGUGUAGAGGUGAAAUUCGUAGAUAUUGGGAAGAACACCGGUGGCGAAGGCGGCUCACUGGCUCGUUUCUGACGCUCAGGCGCGAUAGCGUGGGGAGCAAACAGG
rnacentral:rRNA from 1 species